rnacentral:rRNA from 1 species
UUUUUUCAGGUUGGACCUCGGAUCAGGUA